AUUGAACGCUGGCGGCAGGCCUAACACAUGCAAGUCGAGCGAGUGGCGGACGGGUGAGUAAUGUAUGGGGAUCUGCCUGAUAGAGGGGGAUAACUACUGGAAACGGUGUCUAAUACCGCAUACCAUCUGAUGUACCCAUAUGGGAUUAGCUAGUAGGUGGGGUAAAGGCUCACCUAGGCGACGAUCCAUAGCUGGUCUGAGAGGAUGAGCAGCCAAACGGGAACGGAGACACGGGCCAGACUCCUACGGGAGGAAGCAGUGGGGAAUAUGGCACAAUGGGCGCAAGCCUGAUGCAGCCAUGCCGAGUGUAGGAAGAAGGCCUUAGGGUGGUAAAGUACUUUCAGCGGGGAGGCGUUACCCGCAGAAGAAGCACCGGCUAACUCCGUGCCAGCAGCCGCGGUAAUUC
rnacentral:rRNA from 1 species